CUGAUGCAGCCAUGCCGCGUGUGUGAAGAAGGCCUUCGGGUUGUAAAGCACUUUCAGUCAGGAGGAAAGGGUGUGAGUUAAUACCUCACAUCUGUGACGUUACUGACAGAAGAAGCACCGGCUAACUCCGUGCCAGCAGCCGCGGUAAUACGGAGGGUGCGAGCGUUAAUCGGAAUUACUGGGCGUAAAGCGUACGCAGGCGGUUUGUUAAGCGAGAUGUGAAAGCCCCGGGCUCAACCUGGGAACUGCAUUUCGAACUGGCAAACUAGAGUGUGAUAGAGGGUGGUAGAAUUUCAGGUGUAGCGGUGAAAUGCGUAGAGAUCUGAAGGAAUACCGAUGGCGAAGGCAGCCACCUGGGUCAACACUGACGCUCAUGUACGAAAGCGUGGGGAGCAAACGGGAUUAGAUACCCCGGUAGUCCACGCCGUAAACGAUGUCUACUAGAAGCUCGGAACCUCGGUUCUGUUUUUCAAAGCUAACGCAUUAAGUAGACCGCCUGGGGAGUACGGCCGCAAGGUUAAAACUCAAAUGAAUUGACGGGGGCCCGCACAAGCGGUGGAGCAUGUGGUUUAAUUCGAUGCAACGCGAAGAACCUUACCUACACUUGACAUACAGAGAACUUUCUAGAGAUGGUUGGUGCCUUCGGGACUCUGAUACAGGUGCUGCAUGGCUGUCGUCAGCUCGUGUUGUGAGAUGUUGGGUUAAGUCCCGCAACGAGCGCAACCCCUAUCCUUAGUUGCUAGCAGGUAAUGCUGAGAACUCUAAGGAGACUGCCGGUGAUAAACCGGAGGAGGGUGGGGACGACGUCAAGUCAUCAUGGCCAUUACGUGUAGG
rnacentral:rRNA from 1 species